GCGCUAACCACUACACCGUGCGCGUUACAUCUAAACAGUGAUUUCUUGAAGGCAAGCUUUUGACUCGGCACUCGAUUAAUUUAUUAAUGUCGAGUCGUACAUUCAUCUCUAGAUGGCAUUCGUGUCGCAUAGCACGUUCGAAUUCGAAAUUACCCGCCAUUAAAACUUAGUCUGCUGUUUGUGCAACAGCAGAUCGAACAGCACAAAAUCACAAUCACAAUAUCACAUGUCACACAAUCUGCUUCAUGGUUUUCCCCUUUUCGGUCUAGAUUUUUUGAAAAUUGAAUCAAAUGAGUAGUGGCAAAGCGAAGAGUGUACGACCUUCUCGCAAGAUUUGAAAAUGAUGAUUUUAAACUUACUGACUUCAUCCAAAAGCAGUAGAAUAACAGGAACCAAUGCACAUACCAUCACAAUUGUUUUCCUCGCUACAACAUAAUUGUGAACAACAUUGCAUUUAUGACAUGAGCUUUAAAAUCUUGAGAUACUUGAUUGAAAAUCAGCAAGUUGGAAAACAAUUUUUGUGGAAAAUGUUUGUAAAUUUUCUACAGAAAGAUUGUGCUUUUUUCCUGCCCUUGUUGUCGGAAUUUUAAAAUGUAUUCCUCAAGCCGCUAAAAGUUCAUCACACUAAGGAAUCAGCAUUUGAAACACAUUUUUGUGAAACUGCUAAAGCUGCUUCAUUGUCAGCUUUACUUAAAUGGGAUACAAGAACAUUGUGGAUUACCAGACUAUGGAUACUGGUGAUGAUUAGAUGCUCCAUGUAAUUAAAUACGGAGUCAUUCCAACUGCUGUUUACAAAGAAACCCUUUGAGCUUUGUUUGCUGAACCCUACACUUACAUUUUGAUGAAGUUGAAAUUACAAGAAGAAGCUGAAGCAUUUCUUUAGAAGUAUGUUGAAAAAGAGUCUAAACGAAAUUUCGGAGUCUCUGGUGCCCUUCAUGCCUUGAAUAUAAUCAAGUUGCAUAUUCCAAAAGCCAGUCCAAAUCUUACCAUCUCCUUCCUUGAAAUGAUUGCAAAGAGAGAUUUUGGAAAUUCAAAGGUAUUAGAUCUAUGUAAACACUACUUGCAUACUCUUAAUUCUGCGACUUGCAGUAUCUCUGACAAUGAAUCCGACUUCGGUUCGGAUGCAGUGCCCAUUUCAUUCGCCCCUGCACCCAACGGUGUGUGAACAAAUGUCUAGAGUUGAUUAUGUGUAUCCCAAAAUGAUGGCAACUUCAAAAAUGGGGAAAAACCGAUUACAUCCGAACUGGCAAAAUUCAUCUAAAUACGAGAAAGCUGUUAAAACUUGAUAUUAGCAAUAUGAUAGCCAAGCGAUAUAAGAAGAGGAGGACAAUGCGCGUCCAAAACAAAGCGCUCCGCAUGACCCGUGCGUGAAGAUCGGCUACAAUAUCAACUUGCUCUGUUAGAUCUUUUGAAUCACUGGAUUCUUCCCUGGAUGAAUGGGAGCAUGGCGACAACAACGUAAUGACCGAUGAGUCACUCUCGCAGGACGGUGGAAAUGACAGCACUUCAAAAUGGUGUGAACCAAAUCCUUGUCAGCCGACUGUAAGUAUG
rnacentral:lncRNA from 1 species